UUCUUCUUUCAGCACAGUCAAGAGCUGAAACCCAGCUUCUAAAACAAGCAUGAGGCUGCUUGUGUGUUUGUUGAUGAUGAUGCAGCAUGAAGGUUAAAGCUGAGACAGGGAACAAAACUCCAAAAUACUCACAGGACAACUGACCGAAAACAACUCGACUUGAUACACAUGAAGAAACUACACAAUAACAAUUGCAUAUAUACUGGUAUACGUCAACAGCUACAUGUUACCUGAUGGUGACUUGCUGCGUCUGGCGGGUGUCACAGUCCUGGGAGAUGCUCGACUUAGAAGACUCUUUCCAUAGGAGGAUGAUUUCAUCAGCCUGCAUUCUGUUACCCAAGAAAUACAGGACCCACCAUGGUCUCUUAUCCUCCUCCCUGGACAUUAAUGAAACCACACUUUGCUGAGUUACAACUCAGACUGCUAUACUCUACAUCUUCUUACUUCAAACUUUCAUCCAACCUUUACAUGUGAAUGGCAAGGAAAACAUUCUACCAUAUUUUUUCUUGUUAUUGACUGAGGGAACCAACACAUGCUUAUACUAUAUGUGGACAU